rnacentral:rRNA from 1 species
GUAGGUGGCAAGCGUUGUCCGGAAUUAUUGGGCGUAAAGCGCGCGCAGGCGGUUCUUUAAGUCUGAUGUGAAAGCCCACGGCUCAACCGUGGAGGGUCAUUGGAAACUGGAGAACUUGAGUACAGAAGAGGAAAGCGGAAUUCCACGUGUAGCGGUGAAAUGCGUAGAGAUGUGGGGGAACACCAGUGGCGAAGGCGGCUUUCUGGUCUGUAACUGACGCUGAGGCGCGAAAGCGUGGGGAGCAAACAGGGAUUAGAUACCCUGGUAGUCCACGCCGUAAACGAUGAGUGCUAAGUGUUAGGGGGUUUCCGCCCCCUUAGUGCUGCAGCUAACGCAUUAAGCACUCCGCCUGGGGAGUACGGCCGCAAGGCUG